GAUGAACGCUGGCGGCGUGCCUAAUACAUGCAAGUCGAACGCUGGAGAUCUAGCUUGCUAGCUCGAAGGAGUGGCGAACGGGUGAGUAAUACAUAAGCAACCUACCCACGAAGACUGGGAUAAUCUCUGGAAACGGGGACUAAUACCGGAUAGGUAAUCGGAAGGCAUCUUCUGGUUAUUAAAGGUUACAAACACUGGUGGAUGGGCUUAUGGCGCAUUAGUUAGUUGGUGAGGUAACGGCCCACCAAGACGAUGAUGCGUAGCCGGCCUGAGAGGGUGAACGGCGACAUUGGGACUGAGACACGGCCCAGACUCCUACGGGAGGCAGCAGUAGGGAAGUUUCGGCAAUGGGGGCAACCCUGACCGAGCAACGCCGCGUGAGUGAAGACGGCCUUCGGGUUGUAAAGCUCUGUUGUAAGGGAAGAACGGUAGAUAGAGAAUAUCUAAGUGACGGUACCUUACCAGAAAGCCACGGCUAACUACGUG
rnacentral:rRNA from 1 species